ACGGCUCAGUAACACGUGCCCAACCUACCCUCGGGAGGGGGAUAACCCCGGGAAACUGGGGAUAAUCCCCCAUAGGCCUGGGAUUCCUGGAAGUGGGCCCAGGCCGAAAGGGGCCGUUAGGCCCGCCCGAGGAUGGGGGUGCGGCCCAUCAGGUAGUUGGCGGGGUAAUGGCCCGCCAAGCCGAUAACGGGUAGGGGCCGUGAGAGCGGGAGCCCCCAGAUGGGCCCUGAGACAAGGGCCCAGGCCCUACGGGGCGCACCAGGCGCGAAAACUCCGCAAUGCGGGCAACCGUGACGGGGCCACCCCGAGUGCCCCGAAGAGGGGCUUUUCCCCGCUGUAAGUAGGCGGGGGUAAUAAGCGGGGGGCAAGUCUGGUGUCAGCCGCCGCGGUAAUACCAGCCCCGCGAGUGGUCGGGACGAUUAUUGGGCCUAAAGCGCCCGUAGCCGGCCCGGUAAGUCCCCCCUUAAAGCCUCGGGCUCAACCCGAGGACGGGGGGGAUACUGCCGGGCUAGGGGGCGGGAGAGGCCGAGGGUACUCCCGGGGCAGGGGCGAAAUCCGUUAAUCCCGGGAGGACCACCAGUGGCGAAGGCGCUCGGCUGGAACGCGCCCGACGGUGAGGGACGAAGGCCGGGGGAGCGAACCGGAUUAGAUACCCGGGUAGUCCCGGCUGUAAACGCUGCGGGCUAGGUGUCGGGGAUCCUACGGGGAUCCCCGGUGCCGAAGGGAAGCCGGAAGCCCGCCGCCUGGGGAGUACGG
rnacentral:rRNA from 1 species